rnacentral:rRNA from 1 species
UUGAUCCUGGCUCAGGACGAACGCUGGCUGCGUGCUUAACACAUGCAAGUCGAACGCUGAAGCCGGGUGCUUGCACCUGGUGGAUGAGUGGCGAACGGGUGAGUAACACGUGAGUAACCUGCCCCUGAUUUCGGGAUAAGCCUGGGAAACUGGGUCUAAUACCGGAUAUGACUGUUCCACGCAUGUGGGAUGGUGGAAAGUUUUUCGAUCGGGGAUGGGCUCGCGGCCUAUCAGCUUGUUGGUGGGGUAAUGGCCUACCAAGGCGACGACGGGUAGCCGGCCUGAGAGGGCGACCGGCCACACUGGGACUGAGACACGGCCCAGACUCCUACGGGAGGCAGCAGUGGGGAAUAUUGCACAAUGGGGGAAACCCUGAUGCAGCGACGCAGCGUGCGGGAUGACGGCCUUCGGGUUGUAAACCGCUUUCAGCAGGGAAGAAGCGAAAGUGACGGUACCUGCAGAAGAAGUACCGGCUAACUACGUGCCAGCAGCCGCGGUAAUACGUAGGGUACGAGCGUUGUCCGGAAUUAUUGGGCGUAAAGAGCUCGUAGGUGGUUGGUCACGUCUGCUGUGGAAACGCACCGCUAAACGUUGCGCGGGCAGUGGGUACGGGCUGACUACAGUGCACUACGGGAGUCUGGAAUACCUGCCGUACCGGUGAACAUGCCCACAUAUAAGGAGGAACACGGGCGGGCCAAUGCGGGACUCUGGCCUGUCACUGAAUCUGAGGCCCGAACGCUUGGGGAGCGAACAGA